GCCUAGUGGUUACUGGUCACUGUUGUUUCAAUACAGUGCUUCAGUUAUUAAAAACAGGCAAAAAGUAAUACUCUGACAUACGCAUGGAGUUUAUAAUAUAUGAUAGCCUCCAUAGCCCGGUCAUUGUUACACUU